GACGAACGCUGGCGGCGUGCCUAACACAUGCAAGUCGAACGAUCGAGCGAGAGCUUGCUUUCUCGAGCGAGUGGCGCACGGGUGAGAUACGCGUGAGGCACCCGUCUCAAAGAGGGGUACACCAGUUGGACACGACUGCUUAUACCGCAUAAGCACACGCCUCGGCGUCGAGUAGGGGGAAAAGGGGCGAUCCGCUUUUAGAUGGCCUCGCGUCCGAUUAGCUAGUUGGUGGGGUAAUGGCCCACCAAGGCGACGACCGGUAGCCGGCCUGAGAGGUUGAACGGCCACGCUGGGGAUGAGACACGGCCCAGAAUCCUACGGGAGGGAGCAGUGGAGAAUAUUGCGGGAGGGGGGAAACCCUGAUGCAGCGACGCGGGGUGGAGGAAGAAGGUCUUCGGAUUGUAAACUCCGGUUGUAGGGGAAGAUAAUGACGGUACCCAACGAGAAAGUGACGGCUAACUACGUG
rnacentral:rRNA from 1 species